GACGAACGCUGGCGGCGUGCUUAACACAUGCAAGUCGAACGGAAAGGCCCUGCUUUUGUGGGGUGCUCGAGUGGCGAACGGGUGAGUAACACGUGAGUAACCUGCCCUUGACUUUGGGAUAACUUCAGGAAACUGGGGCUAAUACCGGAUAGGAGCUCCUGCUGCAUGGUGGGGGUUGGAAAGUUUCGGCGGUUGGGGAUGGACUCGCGGCUUAUCAGCUUGUUGGUGGGGUAGUGGCUUACCAAGGCUUUGACGGGUAGCCGGCCUGAGAGGGUGACCGGGCACAUUGGGACUGAGAUACGGCCCAGGCUCCUACGGGAGGCAGCAGUGGGGAAUAUUGCACAAUGGGCGGAAGCCUGAUGCAGCAACGCCGCGUGCGGGAUGACGGCCUUCGGGUUGUAAACCGCUUUCGCCUGUGACGAAGCGUGAGUGACGGUAAUGGGUAAAGAAGCACCGGCUAACUACGU
rnacentral:rRNA from 1 species